ensembl:lncRNA
CUUAAAAGGAAGAAGAUAUAGGAGAAAGCACCUUCCUUAUUUCUUCAUGAAAAAAAUCAAGCUACCAACAGCUGCAGAGAACUCCUGCUAUGAAUAACAAAUAAACUCAGAGUUCAUAAGAAUAGGCUCUUGUCCAAGGUCUACUCCUUCACCCCCACCCAUGCGAAAGGCAGUUGUGUCAGCUACCUUUGGAUAACAAAUGGACCUUCUCUCAGAGAACAGAGGAUCGCCCACAGACAGGAUGAGGCCAUUUUUUCCCAAUGCUUUAUCUCUUUCUCAGAAUUUUAGUUGUCAACCUUCUUGAGGAGGAAAUACUUUCUUUUGGCAAAAGGAACACUACUGAGCAUAUACUCCUACAACUGGACUAUCAUCACUACCCCACAAAGAGCUACUCAGCCAACUGACUUGGAGGCAGUUUUGGACCCUGUCUUCGCUUUGGAGGGACCUCUUGGAAAAGAAGAAAUCAAGUAAGUACAUGAUACAUUUUGAUCAUCCCAGAUUACAGGCAAAGGUUUUCUAUGACUGAUGACAGGUGUGUGAGAUACAGGAAAGAGGCUCUCAGAGCCAUGGCAAGAG